rnacentral:rRNA from 1 species
UACGUAGGGUGCAAGCGUUGCCCGGAAUUAUUGGGCGUAAAGAGCUCGUAGGCGGUCUGUCGCGUCGGAUGUGAAAAUCCAGGGCUCAACCCUGGACCUGCAUUCGAUACGGGCAGACUAGAGUUCGGCAGGGGAGACUGGAAUUCCUGGUGUAGCGGUGAAAUGCGCAGAUAUCAGGAGGAACACCGGUGGCGAAGGCGGGUCUCUGGGCCGAUACUGACGCUGAGGAGCGAAAGCGUGGGGAGCGAACAGG